CUGAGUGGCGGACGGGUGAGUAACGCGUGGGUAACCUGCCUCAUACAGGGGGAUAACAGUUAGAAAUGACUGCUAAUACCGCAUAAGACCACAGCACCGCAUGGUGCAGGGGUAAAAACUCCGGUGGUAUGAGAUGGACCCGCGUCUGAUUAGGUAGUUGGUGGGGUAACGGCCUACCAAGCCGACGAUCAGUAGCCGACCUGAGAGGGUGACCGGCCACAUUGGGACUGAGACACGGCCCAAACUCCUACGGGAGGCAGCGGUGGGGAAUAUUGCACAAUGGGGGAAACCCUGAUGCAGCGACGCCGCGUGAGCGAUGAAGUAUUUCGGUAUGUAAAGCUCUAUCAGCAGGGAAGAAAAUGACGGUACCUGACUAAGAAGCACCGGCUAAAUACGUGCCAGCAGCCGCGGUAAUACGUAUGGUGCAAGCGUUAUCCGGAUUUACUGGGUGUAAAGGGAGCGUAGACGGAGUGGCAAGUCUGAUGUGAAAACCCGGGGCUCAACCCCGGGACUGCAUUAGAAACUGUCAAUCUGGAGUACCGGAGAGGUAAGCGGAAUUCCUAGUGUAGCGGUGAAAUGCGUAGAUAUUAGGAGGAACACCAGUGGCGAAGGCGGCUUACUGGACGGUAACUGACGUUGAGGCUCGAAAGCGUGGGGAGCAAACAGGAUUAGAUACCCUGGUAGUCCACGCCGUAAACGAUGACUACUAGGUGUCGGGCAGCAAAGCUGUUCGGUGCCGCAGCAAACGCAAUAAGUAGUCCACCUGGGGAGUACGUUCGCAAGAAUGAAACUCAAAGGAAUUGACGGGGACCCGCACAAGCAGUGGAGCAUGUGGUUUAAUUCGAAGCAACGCGAAGAACCUUACCUGCUCUUGACAUCUCCCUGACCGGCAAGUAAUGUUGCCUUUCCUUCGGGACGGGGAUGACAGGUGGUCAUGGUUGUCGUCAGCUCGUGUCGUGAGAUGUUGGGUUAAGUCCCGCAACGAGCCCAACCCCUAUCUUUAGUAGCCAGCGGUCAGGCCGGGCACUCUAGAGAGACUGCCAGGGAUAACCUGGAGGAAGGUGGGGAUGACGUCAAAUCAUCAUGCCCCUUAUGAGCAGGGCUACACACGUGCUACAAUGGCGUAAACAAAGGGAGGCAGAACCGCGAGGUCGAGCAAAUCCCAAAAAUAACGUCUCAGUUCGGAUUGUAGUCUGCAACUCGACUACAGGAAGCUGGAAUCGCUAGUAAUCGCGAAUCAGAAUGUCGCGGUGAAUACGUUCCCGGGUCUUGUACACACCGCCCGUUACACCAUGGGAGUCAGUAACGCCCGAAGUCAGUGACCCAACCGUAAGGAGGGAGCUGCCGAAGGUGGGACCGAUAACUGGGGUG
rnacentral:rRNA from 1 species